GUUGUAGCUCAGUGGUAGAGCACAUGCCUCUCAUGCGUGAGGCACUGGGUUCAAUCCUCAGCACACA
rnacentral:tRNA from 1 species